CCGUCACCGACGCAGCGGAUCAGAAUUGGGAGCCCCGAAUUUCAAAUUAGCGGGGUUUUUAUUGUGGUUACAGCGAGGUUCUGUACCUGCUAGAGACACUACAGGCAUAUCAUCUGUCAUCAGUCCCAAGAAGAAGAUGUCACUCAUUCGAAGACACUCAGUUCCCAAUUGGCAGAUAGUGAGGAAUCUUUUAAUGUUACCAGAAAACAUCUCCAUGGCUCUACCCUUCUGGCCUGUGUUCCAUAAGAGAUGGCUGUGGUCAGUCAUCAUGCAGUGGAGAAAAAUAUUUGAAGAAAUAGCCAAAGUUUCCCCAAGUCUGGUGACCAACAUAAAUUACAGAUCCAAAUAAAACCCAAUAAAGUCCAAGUAGGAUGAACACAAAGAGAACUACAUCUUGGAACAUCAAAAUCAAACUCUGAAAACUAAAGAUAAGGAGACAACAAUAAAAGUAAGGGGAAGAAAACCCAGAACAAAAAACCAACAGAAAGACACAUUACCUCUUUGGACUGAAUGCUUGCGUCCCCUCCAAAAUUCAUUUGUAGAAAUCUAAUUUGCAAUGGGAUGGUAUUUGUAAGUAGAGCCUUUGGGAAGUGAUUAACCUAUGAAGGUAGAGCCUUGAUGAAUAAGUUUAGUGCUGUUAUUAAAAAACAAACAACAACAACAAACUAGUCAGUUAGCUGGCUUGUGCUCUUUCCAACAUGUAGAGAUACAAUGAGAAGUCAUCUACCCACAACCAGGAAGCAAGUGGAUACCAGAUCUGUAUGAGUCUUAACUUAGGCUCCCCAGCCUCCAAAAUUUUGAAAAUAAAUGUCUGUUGUUAAAGCCACCAGUCUGUAUUUUUUCAGCAGUCCAA